rnacentral:rRNA from 1 species
GAUGAACGCUGGCGGCGUGCCUAAUACAUGCAAGUCGAGCGAACAGACGAGGAGCUUGCUCCUCUGACGUUAGCGGCGGACGGGUGAGUAACACGUGGAUAACCUACCUAUAAGACUGGGAUAACUUCGGGAAACCGGAGCUAAUACCGGAUAAUAUAUUGAACCGCAUGGUUCAAUAGUGAAAGACGGUUUUGCUGUCACUUAUAGAUGGAUCCGCGCCGCAUUAGCUAGUUGGUAAGGUAACGGCUUACCAAGGCAGCGAUGCGUAGCCGACCUGAGAGGGUGAUCGGCCACACUGGAACUGAGACACGGUCCAGACUCCUACGGGAGGCAGCAGUAGGGAACCUUCCGCAAUGGGCGAAAGCCUGACGGAGCAACGCCGCGUGAGUGAUGAAGGUCUUCGGAUCGUAAAACUCUGUUAUUAGGGAAGAACAAAUGUGUAAGUAACUAUGCACGUCUUGACGGUACCUAAUCAGAAAGCCACGGCUAACUACGUG